rnacentral:lncRNA from 1 species
UUUAAUGACUUUAUAGAACUUUUAAUCUAUAAAAAAUUACAUUGAAUCCUCCAAAACUUAUAUGAAGUUAUAAAAAGUUUCGUUCGAAUACACUUAAACAAUUUAAGUCUCUAUAAUCUUUAGAAAUCUAGAAUGACUGCAUCACCUUAAAGGUCUCAUAUAGAGACAUCUUUUUUACAUCCCUUGUACAUUUUCAAUACAAAAAGUGAUAUUAGUGCACCGUGGCAAACAACUAGAAUUUAAAAUAUAAAGAAAUUGUAGGUCCAGAAUCGAGUUUAAACCAAAAUACUCAAUGCAUAAAAUCAAAAUUUCUCAAACACAGAACAAGAAAAUAAGGAACACGAGAUUUUUCGGCCAAAGGCCCCAGAGAUUCAGCCACCGCUUCAAACGCUUAGUCCCCCAUUGAUCAUCCGUAAAGGAUUAAACUCGAAUUCACUAUACCAGCCAAAAUAGGCAAAAAUCAACUUACAGAACAUAGAGUUUUCAAACCACGAAUACAACACAAUCUUCCCACAGAGCAAACUCACAAAAGAGUUUCUCUACAAUUUUCUCUCAAAACAAUGCAAAGUAUUUUUAGAAAAGAUACAAGAUCAAACAAAGUAGAUGAAAGGCAUGCAGCCAAGAAACCCUCAAAAUGAUACCAACCGUAACCCUAAAGUCUCAAGACCCGUAUUUAUAUGAGAGUGAAAGAUCCAAAGGUAUAAGUCCUGCCACUUGUCAUCAAUCCAACGAGACCACCUUUUAAAUUGAAGACGCGUUUGUUGAAAACACGGUUUUAACAAUUCUAGAUUCUUCCAUUUGUGGGUCAUCAAGCUGGACCAUUUAUUUGGGCUUAAAAUAAACCAGCUUUGAGAUAAUUAGGUUGGACUCACAAAAUUCAACAACCCAACACUUACAAUCUCCACCUUUGUUGUAUUUUGUGUCUGCACUUACGUAGAUUCCAACUUAAUCUCUUACAUCAUUUGCUCUUAUUACUUGUUUACAAAAGCAGAAAAAAUAGCAAGUUUUGAGAUUCAACAAUCUUAAACAAUCUAAGAACUUACUAAGUAGCAUUACCUUUGUUCCAACAUCAGCAGGAUUUACCUUGGUAGGUAUUUUUACCAAUUUAAUAUCAUCCCUAUCAAUUAUAUCUCUAAUGAAAUGAAACUUAACAUCAAUGUGCUUUGAUCUAUGAAUAAAAAUUGGGUUUUUACUUAAGAAAAUGGCACUUCGAUUGUCAAAACAUAACUCCACCUGAUUUUCUACAAGACCUAAUUCAUUUAACAAAACUUUCAGCCAUAGUCUCUCUUUUCUAGUUUCAGUAGUAGCAAUGUAUUCUGCCUCAGUAUAGGAUAAAGCAACUAACUUCUGAAGUUGAGAUUUCCAGCUAAUGCGCGCAUUGUUUAUGACGUAAAAAUAUGCAGAAGUAGAUUUCCUACUAUCCAGAUAUGCAGUAAAGUCAGAAUCAACAUAGCCUUUAAGUUUAAAACCAUCUUUACUUAUUUUAAACAUGAGUCCUAAAUUACAUGUACCUUUCAAGUAUUUAAUCAGGUUUUUCAUACAUUCCCGAUGAGACUGACUUGGAUUACUCAUGAAUCUACUUAAUGCACUUACUGCAUAAGCUAUAUCAGGUCUUGAACACACCAUUACAUACAUUACAAACCCAACAACAUUAGCAUAUGACACAUUCAACAUCCCUUUAAGUUCCUCUUCUGUUUUAGGUGAUUGAUCAACAUAUAAUUUCAUGCAAGAGGACAAAGGUAAGCUGACAAAUUUAGCAUUUUCAAGAAAAAAUCUUUUUACCGCUUUUCCAAUGUAAGAUUUCUGAGUUAAGAACAAUUUUCCAUUAAUUCUGUAUCUUAUUAUUUCCAUUCUCAAAAUCUUCCUAGUAGGGCCUAAAUCCUUCAUUUUAAAUUCUAAUUUCAACCUUUCUUUUAUGGAAUUAAGUAUAAUAGAAUUAUGACCAGCCACCAGCAUAUCAUCAACAUACAAAAGAAGGUAAAAGAAUUCAGAAUCACUAUUCUUUUAAAAGUAAAAAUAAGGAUCAAAAUCUGAUUUCUUAAACUCUAGGCCUUGUAUAAAAGAAUCAAACCUCUUAUACCAUUGUUUAGGAGCCUGUUUUAGUUCAUAUAGUGAUUUGUUUAGCAAACACACCAAGUUUUCUUUAUUCUUUACUUCAAAACCUUUAGACUGUGUCAUGUAUAUGGUUUCAUCUAGGGAUCCAUACAAGAAUGCAAUCUUCACAUCAAGUUGUUCCAAUUCUAGAUCAAACCGAGUCACAAUGGCAAGCAGAAUUCUAAUGGACGUAUAUUUCACUACAAGUGAGAAAAUUUCAGUGUAGUCUACCCUUUCUCUUUGUGUGAAAUCUUUUGCUACAAACUUUGCCUUAUAUCUUUUAUUGGUUAUUUUUUAAUCUCCCUCUUUAAUCUUAUACAUCCGUUUACAAUCAAUUACCUUACAAUCUUUAGGUUUCUCAACCAAAUUUCAAGUUUCAUUUUUGUACAGAGAGUUCAUUUCAUCUUCCAUAGCCUCAAUCCAUUUGGAAGAUUUCUUACAAGAAACAGCUUUCUUAUAAGAGGUGGGUUCAAGAUCAGAGGGUUCAAACUCAGUUUGAGCAUACACAUAGUCCGCGUAUUGGUAUUUGGAAGGAUGUCUUGUUUCCCUCCUUUUCCUGUCCAUAGCAAGCUGGUAAUUUUGCAACUCACGGGCAGGACUUAAUUCCUGAUUACCAUUCAGAACUUCAACAUCUGGACUGUCGUGAAGUUUUGUUUGAGGCUGCUCCACCUCAAACUGAGCACGCUCAACUGUAUUUUCCCUAUUUAGUUCAAUUUUAGUGAUAAUAAAGUCAUCUUCUCUUAUCUUUUCAUUGGUCUUGUCACAAAGGCAUGGAAAAUAAUCCUCAUUUAAGAUCACAGACCUACUUCUUAUCACCUUAUAGCCUCUAAUAUCCUUUCACCAAAGUCUAUAGCCUUUAACUCCUUCUCUUUAUCCUAAGAAGACAUACUUUUGUAACUUAUGAUCCAAUUUUGAGUCAUUAUAAUGUGCAUAUGUAGCACACCCAAAAGUCAUGAGAUUGCAGUAAUCAUGCAUAGAACCAAAUCACAUCUGUUCAAGGAUUUUGUUGUUAAUGAACUAGAAAGACAUCUAUUUAUUAAGUAACAUGCUAUUUUUACUACUUCUCCCCAAAAUAAUAUAGGCAUUCCAAAACUAAUCAGCAUGCAUCUUGUCCUCUCAAGAAUAGUUUUAUUUAAUCUCUCAGCAACUCCAUUUUUUUGAGGUGUGUAGGUGACAGUUUUAUGCCUCAUUAUACCUUGUUCACUGUAGUACUGAUUAAAUUCUAUACUACAAAAUUCCAGCCCAUUGUUAGUUCUAAGGAUUUUAAUCUUCUUGCCAGUUUGAUUUUCAAUUAAUACACAUCAUUGCUUAAAGAUUGCAAACGUAUCAGAUUUAGAUUUCAGCAAGAAAAUCUAUGCCUUCCUGUAAUAAUCAUCUAUAGUAAGUAGGUAAUAUCUAAAAUCAGACACAGUAGACACUGGUGCAAGUCCCCACAGAUCAUUGUGUAUGUAUUCCAAGACAUUUUGGGACUUGUGAAUACAUCCCUAAAAGGCAACCUUACUUACUUCCCCAAGAUACAAUGUUCACAAAAAGUUAAUUUCUAAAAAUUGUCUUUUCCAAAUGUUCCUUGAUGCAAGAGGGAUUUUAAACCCUUUUCACCAAGAUGGUCAAGCUUCUUGUGCCAAAGUUCUGACUUAUCAGAACGUGCAACAAGAUUCACAAAGUUAUUAUUGAGGAUAGUUCAAUGUUUAUAACAAAGAUUCCAUUGGUUUUUGGUAUACUAAUAAUGAGCUUUUGGUUUCUGAUUAUAUUUGUAAACUCCUUCUUGAUUUCAACAUGAUAUUUCUCGUCAUCUAGAAUACCUAGUGAAAUCAGAUUUCUACUUAGUGUUGGUAUAUAUCUAGUAUGUUUCAGCAUUAAGUAAUGACCAGUCUUCAAUUUCAAAAGAAUAUUACCUAUGCCUCUAAUGUGACAAGAUUCAUUAUUUUCAAGUUUUAAAAAACCUCCCUCAAGGUCAGAGAAGUCAAAAAACCAACUUUUAUUAGGGCUCAUGCGAAAGGAACAACCUGAACCCAGAAUCCAAUUCUGAUUAGUCAUUUCAGUUGAAGAUACAUAAACAACUACAAUAUUGGUCCCUGCUUUCUUACAAGAGGCAGCCAUAGAUGAGGAACCAAUCUCAAAAUUGGGAUUAUUUUUCUGGUCAUUGGCUUUCUUGAAGCUGUCUUUAAUAAAAUGACCUGACUUUCCACAAUAGUACAUUUUUUAUUCUUUGCCUUUACUUCAUUAAACUUCUUAUCUUUUCCUUUAUUGUUCUUGUUCCAUUUCUUUUUAACAAGAUUUCUAUCCAUGUAAUGAUUAGAUUGGCUGAAAUUGCUCACACCUUUAAUUUGAGGUUUUUAAUUUGCUGAGGCAUUUUCAACAUGAAAUACCUCAUUGUAUUUCAGGUUUCAAUUCUAGCUCUUUACUUAGAAGUGAGCUAUGAAUUAUUUCAACAGUUAAAUCACUCCUGCCAUAGUCCAAGGCAUUUCUUAUGUCCUUAUAUUUGUCUCCUAGAGCAUUAAACAGACCAAUCUUUUGCUCACUAGAGAUCUUUCCAUCACAAUUUAUGAGAUCUUGAGUGAUCCUAUUAAAUCUAUCCAUGCUUUCUUCUGUAUGAAGAUUAGGAUCAAACUUAAAGCUAAAGAAUUGCCCCCACAGAAAACAUUGAUUUGGUAAUGUCGUAGUGAGGUACUAUUUUUCUAAAGUUGUCCACAGUUUUGCAGUAGUUUCUAGUUUCUCCUACUUAUCUAAUCAGAGAAUCAGGUAAACGAAGAAACAUAGUACUCCAGGCUAACUAAUCUUGUUCAAUUUUCCUAUUAUUCUGGCCAAGAUUCAUCAAUGGCCUAAGUACAUUUUAACUAUAACAAUAAGGCUUUAAUUUUCUGGUGCUAGAGACUAAAGUCUCCUUUGCCAUCCCAACUCUGAAUAUCUACUUUAGAAUUCAUGGCAUACGACAGUAUGGUAGUUGUGCACAAGUGUGAUGUGUACUUAUGUCAUACAGAUCAAUACAAGAUAUGAUAAUCACAAAAUAAGGAAGUCAAACACCAAAGAUUCUAGAUAAUAAGUAAUACAGUAAAAUAUUAUGGGCAGUUAUAUUUACACUCAAUAAGUAGAAAAGAAAAGAAAUCUCAGUAUGUAUACCUUCGUAGGAUUAUAUACAUGCAAUGAGGCAUUCUCCCUAAAUGGAACACAAACUUAUAAAUAGUAUCAUAGGUUUAUAUCAUUUAGCAGUUUAAUUACAAAAUGUAAAUUCCAGAUUAUAGGCAUACACACGAUAUCAAUAACAAGAAAUAAAACGACGAAAUAAUUCAUGAUUUCUUAAACCAGUAAUCCCUAGAUUCCCUCAGAUUUUAGGGUUCUCUAAGGGACCCCUAGACAAAGGCAAGAAUAGGGUAGUUCAGAAACCGGAUUUCAAAAGACAAAAGCGCCUAUUUAUUUCCAAGAUCUGAUACCACUGUAGGUCCAGAAUCGAGUUUAAACAAAAAUACUCAACGCAUUAAAUCAAUAUUUCUCAAACACAGAACAAGAAAAUAAGGAACACGAGAGAUUUUUCUGCCAAAGGCCCCGAAGGGUCAACGACCGCUUCUAAUACUUAGUCCCUCGUUGAACAUCCGUAAAGGAUUAAGCUCGAUUUACUAUACCGACCAAAAUAGGUAAAAAUCGAGUUACAAAAUACAGAGUUCUCAAACCACGAAUGCAACACAAUCUUCCCACAAAGCAAACUCACACAAGAGUUUCUCUACAAUUUUCUCUGGAAUACAAAAAAAUACAAGAUCAAACAGAGAAGACUAAAGGCAUGCAAUCAAGAAAACCCUCAAAAUGAUAUCGAUCGUAACCUUAAAGUCUCAAGACCCAUAUUUAUAUGAGAGUGAAAUAUCCAACGAUACCAAUCCUGCCACUUGUCAUCAAUCCAAGGAGACCGCCUUUUGAACUGAAUACGCGUUUGUUGAAAC